GAAGCGGUGACGCCAGUUGCCGCAGAGUCGCUGUUGGGAUACCACCCUUGCAGUAUUGGAUUUCUAACCAGCAGCCGUGAACCGGCUGGGGGACAAUGUCAGGUGGGGAGUUUGACUGGGGCGGUCGCCUCCGAAAGGGUAUCGGAGGCGCUCAAAGGUUCCCUCAGAAUGGUCGGAAACCAUUCGAAGAGUGCAAAGGCAGAAGGGAGCUUGACUGCGACACCGACGGGUGGAGCAGGUACGAAAGUAGGACUUAGUGAUCCGGUGGUAUAAAGUGGGAUUGCCAUCGCUCAACGGAUAAAAGCUACCCUGGGGAUAACAGGCUUAUCACUCCCAAGAGUUCACAUCGACGGAGUGGUUUGGCACCUCGAUGUCGGCUCAUCGCAUCCUGGGGCUGGAGUAGGUCCCAAGGGUUGGGCUGUUCGCCCAUUAAAGCGGUACGCGAGCUGGGUUCAGAACGUCGUGAGACAGUUCGGUCCCUAUCCGGCGUGGGCGUAGGAUAUUUGAGAGGAGCUGACCUUAGUACGAGAGGACCGGGUUGGACUGGCCGCUGGUGAAUCUGUUGUUCUACCAAGAGCAUGGCAGAGUAGCCAAGCCGGGAAGGGAUAAACGCUGAAGGCAUCUAAGCGUGAAGCCCCCCUCAAGAUGAGAUAUCCCAUAACGUCAAGUUAGUAAGACCCCUUGAAGACGACAAGGUAGAUAGGACAGAGGUGGAAGUGCAGUAAUGUAUG
rnacentral:rRNA from 1 species